AUUGAACGCUGGCGGCAGGCCUAACACAUGCAAGUCGAGCGAGCGGCGGACGGGUGAGUAAUGUCUGGGAACCUGCCUGAUGGCGGGGGAUAACUACUGGAAACGGUUGCUAAUCCCGCACACCCUCAGAUGUCCCCAGUGUGGAUUAGCUAGUAGGUGGGGUACUGGCUCACCUAGGCGACGAUCCCUAGCUGGUCUGAGGGGAUGACCAUCCACACUGGAACUGAGACACGGACCCGACUCCUACGGGAGGCAGCAGUAGGGAAUAUUGCGCAAUGGGCGCAAGCCUGAUGCAGCCAUGCCGCGUGUGUGAAGAAGGCCUUCGGGUUGUAAAGCACUUUCAGCAGAGAAGCGUUACCCACAGAAGAAGCACCGGCUAACUCCGUGCCAGCAGCCGCGGUAAUUC
rnacentral:rRNA from 1 species